AACUUUUUUUUGUCUGAAACACCCCAUAUAUUUCAUUACCAAAACAAUUUCUUUGUUGAGCUCAUCAGUCCAUGUAUCUUUAAUCAUUAACUUUAAGACUGAGUUUAAAAAAGCCAAAUGAUAUACAAACGUACCUGUGUGUAUAACAAGUUUCAAAGUGUUCAUACGUACUAAUUAUUAAAGGGUUGUACGUGUAUUUCUAAUCAUUUUCUAUACAUGGAAGAAAAAUCAAACUCAAGUUUUAAAUGUAUUCUCCGAAGAGAUGAAACACCCUGCCAUCAGUUGUUAAAUAUAUUUAAUUUGACAUGGUUAAUUUUUUUUAAUACACAUGUAUGUGUAUCUACAUGUAUUCAUUGCAGUGAUGUACAAUUUAAUCUUAAUUCAUGCACAAAUGUGUCUAAAUGCAGCGUGAAAGUUAUAGGAUGUCUUUGGUAAUUAAAAGCAUUUAUAAUGG
rnacentral:misc_RNA from 1 species